rnacentral:rRNA from 1 species
CGUAGGUGGCGAGCGUUGUCCGGAAUUAUUGGGCGUAAAGGGCGCGUAGGCGGCUCUUUAAGUCAGAUGUGAAAACCCAGGGCUUAACUUUGGGAGUGCAUUUGAAACUGAAGAGCUCGAGUGCAGGAGAGGUAAGUGGAAUUCCUAGUGUAGCGGUGAAAUGCGUAGAUAUUAGGAGGAACACCAGUGGCGAAGGCGACUUACUGGACUGUAACUGACGCUGAGGCGCGAAAGCGUGGGGAGCAAACAGGAUUAGAUACCCUGGUAGUCCACGCUGUAAACGAUGGAUACUAGGUGUGGGAGGUAUCGACCCCUUCCGUGCCGCAGUUAACGCAAUAAGUAUCCCGCCUGGGGAGUACGGCCGCAAGGUUG